AUACGUAGGGGGCGAGCGUUGUCCGGAAUGAUUGGGCGUAAAGGGCGCGUAGGCGGCCCGGUAAGUCUGGAGUGAAAGUCCUGUUUUUAAGAUGGGAAUUGCUUUGGAUACUGUCGGGCUUGAGUGCAGGAGAGGUAAGUGGAAUUCCCAGUGUAGCGGUGAAAUGCGUAGAGAUUGGGAGGAACACCAGUGGCGAAGGCGACUUACUGGACUGUAACUGACGCUGAGGCGCGAAAGUGGGGGGAGCAAACAGGAUUAGAUACCCUGGUAGUCCACACCGUAAACGAUGAAUGCUAGGUGUAGGGGGUAUCGACCCCUUCUGUGCCGCAGUCAACACAAUAAGCAUUCCGCCUGGGGAGUACGGCCGCAAGGUUGAAACUCAAAUGAAUUGACGGGG
rnacentral:rRNA from 1 species